rnacentral:rRNA from 1 species
AGAGGGUGCAAGCGUUAAUCGGAAUUACUGGGCGUAAGGCGUGCGUAGACGGUUUUUUAAGUCGGAUGUGAAAUCCCCGGGCUCAACCUGGGAAUUGCAUUCGAGACCGGAAGGCUAGGGUGCGGAAGAGGGAAGCGGAAUUUCUGGUGUAGCGGUGAAAUGCGUAGAUAUCAGAAGGAACAUCAGUGGCGAAAGCGGCUUCCUGGUCCAGUACCGACGUUCAGGCACGAAAGCGUGGGGAGCAAACAGGAUUAGAUACCCUGGUAGUCCACGCCAUAAACGAUGAGAACUAGACGUUGAGAGGGUUAGCCUCCCAGUGUCGAAGCUAACGCGAUAAGUUCUCCGCCUGGGGAGUACGGCCGCAAGGUUG